CUUUUCUUUACGAACGUGAAGGUCGUCUUCAACCAAACUGCCCGCGUCGACGCGCCCCGCUGCACCCUCUCCUCUGCUCGGACCCCAGGAAACAGCCACGGCCAUUAACGUCGACUCCCGUUGCUCCACGUUCUCCCUCUCUGUAUAAAUUCGACCGGAGCUUCCAAAUAGCAUACCACACUCCUCCACUGAUUCACGCCCCCAGGCUGCCCCUGUGGAGGGCGAAUUUCUUCGCCGGAGUUCCGACGGCCGCCGCGACGUUUCGUCGAAUUCUCCGGCCGGAGGCCCGGAGGUCACCCACGACGAACACCCGACGCCAACAUCGCUAUAGCUGUCCGUCGACCAUCUCCGGGAGUUUCGCUGGAGAGUCCGAGUACGGUAUCGUCUACAUCAUUGUUCUUCUCCGGUGACGCCAUAUCAUCGACGCCGUUCCCACUGCCGCGCACGAACUCUCCGACAGUCUCUGUCAAAAAAAUCCCAUCGAUUGUACGGAAUUUUAUCAAGAAGAAGAUCCUUGUUGCUGUUGUUCCGAAG